GCCUCUUUAGCUCAGUGGCAGAGCGUUGGUCUUGUAAACCAAAAGUCGUGAGUUCAAACCUCACAGGAGGCA
rnacentral:tRNA from 1 species